CCAGGCAGCCCCACGGAGCGAGGGAGCAGGCUCUGACCCCGCGAGCGCCCACGGGCCUCGGCAGAUGUAGCAAGAUGGAUAAGGCCCUGGCCCCCUGGAGGAGGACAGUACUCGCAUGAACAAAUGAGUACCCAGCAGUGUCUCAGAGGAAGCUGUUCAGCUGUGCCAAAGCUCCAGGGCUCCAGGAUGGAGUCAGCACCAUUUCAGGGAACUGGGAUUCCUGACGGGGGAUGCAGCAGGAGCUCCACAAUUAUUCUACCCCUGCUGAAUUGUCUGCCAUGUACAAAUGCAGGAUGCAGCCAUGCCCAGUGACCCGUCCAUGUCAGGUCCUCACUUGCUCUUCGCUCUCUGCAUGCUGCGAACCACCUCCAUUGUUAACAGCCGCUCCAGGGGGCAUCUAGUGCCCAGGGGAGAGGUGCCUGAAACACCAUCACCAGACCUAUAUCUUCACGUCCUUGCCUUGAAAGGAAGCCUCUCAAAAUCCAAGAACCAGAGAAUUAAAACUACGCUUAGGUCAACACAGUGCCGGUGUUCAGAUGAAAAUACUGCAAGAUCGUCAAACACAUAGAUGAAUUUUUCAAGCCACCCAAAACCUGGAUAAUGUUGAACAUUUGGAUAAUCAAAUAUAGCAACUCUAUCCAGUCUCUCUUUUGGAUGACUCACUGGACACUUUUAUAGACUGGGAAUUUUUUGACUACAAUAAUAACCAUCCUGCCAUUGAAGUUCAGCUGUUCACCGUGGCCUGGUGUCACAUAGCUACAGCUGAUGGUACUGUGUUAUGUACGAGAUAGUGAUAUGUAAAGACCAGUUUUUUACCAGACUGCUUUUCAUAAAAAGAUGUUUAAAAAGACUGGAACAUAGCACUCAAGUUUCCUCCUAAACAAUGAAUGCUCUGGCCUACAGGCCUUCUGAGAUCUGGAGACCCAUUCUUCAAAAGAGAAAGACUAUGCAUGAAAUUUAAUCCAUGCCCUCUCCUCUUAAUCAGGUUACAGAGAGAGAGGAAGGGGUGGAAGGACCUGCCAUUGAGCUGAGAGUGAAAUGCCACCGGGGUCUUUGGGACCCUAUCAAAGGCUGGGACCCUGAGACCUGUGAGGCCUGGCUGGUGCUUAAUAACGAGCUUCUGUAGUUUGCUGACCAGAAACCUCCUCACUCGUUAAAGUCGCUCCACACACUAGAAUGUGAGCUCUGCGCAAGCCAAGGAUUUGCCCUCCUUGUUUAUGAUGGUAGCACAUGCUUAAAACGGCGCCUGGCCCGUGCUGGGACAUGCAUCUUCUGCCCUUGGCCAUUGGCUCUUUGGUUCUCGAGCCUUCAGGCUUGGAUUGCAUUCCUCACACCACUGGCUUUCCCGGUUCUCCAGAUGGCAGCGCGUGGGACUUCUCAGCCUCCGGAAUUAU
rnacentral:lncRNA from 1 species